rnacentral:lncRNA from 1 species
UUGGCUUCUUGGUUCUAGAUUUUCCACACUUCAAAUCACCAAAAAGGGAUCAAAACUGUAAAAAAAAAAAAAAAAUCGAAAUCAUCUGAUAUGUUUCAUUAUCAGGAAAAAAGCAAAACAAUGAUAUUAUAUCAGAAAUCAGAAAAUGACUUUAUGAUUUUCGACGCUACAAAUCAGAAUUUACCUUAAUUCCUUGUUCCUUUUGAGUUAUGAUUUACGAAAACUCAUAUCAUUGUUCCUCCGAUUUACUGAUUACUAAUUUGGAAGUAGUAGAAAAAGAAAAAAGAAAAACUGAUCAGAAAUUUGCAGCUUCUGAAAAAAGAAAAAUUGAGGACAAAACUAAAGUUGAAUGUUACCUUCUGAUUUUGAAACUUCAAGCAGGUAACAAAUCUGAGGCUUCUAAAAUCGUUGGUAAGCUUUGUUAGAACUGAAAUCGUUGGUAAGCUUCAUAGUUUUGAGAAGAAAGAAAAAGAAGUAAGAUUGUUGAUCGCUUGUGUCUUUGAUAUUGGAAUGGAAUCGACUUAUGCUUCCUGUCACCCAUGUGUGCGUUAUUAGUGAUGAAGAAACCAGAAACCAAAGAGUUUUUUUGUUUUCCCAAAAAUUAUCCUGCUCCCUCCUUGCUGCAUC